rnacentral:rRNA from 1 species
CUGCAGCCCGAGUGGUGGUCGAUUUUAUUGAGCCUAAAGCGUCCGUAGCCGGACUAGUAAACCCUUGGGUAAAUUGGGCAGCUUAACUGUCCAAAUUCCGAGGGGACUGCUAGUCUUGGGACCGGGAGAGGUCAGAGGUACUCAAGGGGUAGGGGCUAAAUCCUGUAAUCCUUUGGGGACCACCAGUGGCGAAGGCGUCUGACUAGAACGGAUCCGACGGUAAGGGACGAAACCCUGGGGCGCGGACCGGAUUAGAUACCCGAGUAGUCC